rnacentral:rRNA from 1 species
UACAGAGGUCCCAAGCGUUGUUCGGAUUCAUUGGGCGUAAAGGGUGCGUAGGUGGCGCUGUAAGUGGGGUGUGAAAUUUCGGAGCUUAACUCCGAAACUGCAUUCGAUACUGCCGUGCUUGAGGACUGGAGAGGAGACUGGAAUUUACGGUGUAGCGGUGAAAUGCGUAGAUAUCGUAAGGAAGACCAGUGGCGAAGGCGGGUCUCUGGACAGUUCCUGACGCUGAGGCACGAAGGUCAGGGGAGCAAACGGG